GCCUGCCUGACUCAGUCGGUGGAGUGUGUGACUUUUGAUCUUGGGGUUGUGGGUUCGAGCCCCACGUUGAGUG
rnacentral:tRNA from 1 species